rnacentral:rRNA from 1 species
GAUGAACGCUGGCGGCGUGCCUAAUACAUGCAAGUCGAGCGAACAGACGAGGAGCUUGCUCCUCUGACGUUAGCGGCGGACGGGUGAGUCACACGUGGAUAACCUACCUAUAAGACUGGGAUAACUUUGGGAAACCGGAGCUACUACCGGAUAAUAUAUUGCCCCGCAUGGUUCACUAGUGAAAGACGGUUUUGCUGUCACUUAUAGAUGGAUCCGCGCCGCAUUCGUUAGUUGGUAAGGUAACGGCUUACCAAGGCUACGAUGCGUAGCCGACCUGAGAGGGUGGUCGGCCACACUGGAACUGAGGCACGGUCCAGACUCCUACGGUAGGCAGCAGUAGGGAAUCUUCCGCAAUGGGCGAAAGCCUGACGGUGCAACGCCGCGUGAGGGAUGAAGGUCUUCGGAUCGUAAAACGCUGUUAGUAGUGAAGAACAAAUGUGUAAGUAACUAGGCACGUCUUGACGGUACCGAAACAGAAAGCCACGGCUAACUACGUG